rnacentral:rRNA from 1 species
UAAAGUGGCGACCGGGUGAGUAACACGUGACUAACCUACCUUCAAAGUGGGGGGAUAACCUCGGGAAACCGGGGCUAAUACCGCAUAACAUCUUUGAAGUGGAAAUUUCGAAGAUCAAAGGAGCAAUUCGCUGGAAGAGGGGGUCGCGGCUGAUUAGCUAGUUGGCGGGGUAAUGGCCCACCAAGGCUUUGAUCGGUAGCCGGCCUGAGAGGGCGCACGGCCACACUGGAACUGAAACACGGUCCAG